GCUAUGAAAUUAAUUUAAUAGCUGAUAAUUAAUUUCAGUAUUAAUAAAGUAUGACAUUCUUUAAAUCAUUACAGGUUAGCUUCUCUGGCAUUAGGUUACCACAAAAAGACUAUCUUUAAAAACUAUUUGCUGUUGAUAAAUACUUUUUUUAACUUUUGCUAUUGGUCCAGAAUCACUAUUUAUAUUCAUGGCAGUCAGAUCCCAACUAAGACUAGGCUUUAAUGUUCUGAAAUGUAAAAUAAUGAAAUUAUUUCCUUGUUUGAAAUGUAGUCGAAUCGACUGCAGCAGCAACAGAAUCUGCUACAGUGGAAGACCAGAAAGAAGACCAGAAAACCAGAGAAGACAGAACUUUUCCUGCACUACUGAGUCUCAUCAUCCCUCUGGUUUCAUUGAUUUUGGUUGCUAUUGUGGCGUUAUUAGUACUGUUUAGAACCAAAUGUUCCAAAAUUCAAGAUUCAAGUGGCAGCUCCAACUUGGCUGAAAGGAAGACAAUGUGACACACAGUCAUCACAAGCAAAAUGUUUAAAUCAAUCGGUUUUUACAUUUUUUUCUGUUACAUGACUAAGGUUUAGACAACUUUGUUGUAAGGUCUCUUUGCAAGUGUGCAACAACGUAAUGGUUUAUUGUUUGACAUCAUGUAAAAAAAAAGCACUUGAUCAUAUCUUUUUUUAGAUUAAGUAUACACAUUCAACUGAUUAUGGAAAAACUUUAACCUCUUUAUCAGCUUCAGAGCAUAUUGAAUGCUUAUUGUUCCUCUUGAAUGCAAAUGAUUCAAAUGUUUAUAUUGUCUUUAUUUUGUUCUAAUUCUAAAUAAAUGUGUUUAAAUAUUUUACUUUAUUAGAAUCUAUGUCAACGCAGAAUAUUCAUUGUG